GUCAAUAUUUCUCGUAAAUAGUAGAUAUAUAUCGAAUAAAGGUACAACACCUGACUUCGACCAUAAAACAGUGGGGCUUGAUUUGACCUCAGCUCUAGCCAAGUACAAAAUGAUUGUAGCAGUUGUAAUAAUCAAUUAGAGACAGUUUUCCCAUGGCUUCGUUUUCUGCUUCCUUUGUGUUUCUCUCGUGGAUAUUUGAAAACAAUAAUUCAUCAUUUUGCGCUUGAAUGGAGUAAGCUGUCGCCUCAUCGUGCACUUUGUGCUCGCUGGCAUCAUUAGUCAGCGCCCAGAUAUAGAUAUAUCUGGAUCUGUUGCUCAACCAACCUGUCCGUCAUAGGUAGACAAGAGAUUGUGUGCAGAGCGAAGAAGUGAGAGAGACAGAGAGACGGGCGGAUAGAGUCAAAUACUCGAGCGAUAAUCAAGUUCUGACUUGGCCCAACUUAAUUGCGAUACAGAUUCGAGCUAUCAAAUUGCUGGAGGGGACCACCCAAAGCCCAAGUUAGGAAUAUGUUGAAGACAGGACGGAAAUAGCACCAAUAUGCUCCAUUUGUACCUCUGGAACGAGCAUAUGUAACUUGGACUUGCAUACAUGAUUGAACAGAGCUCAGAGCUGAGUCAAGGAGGUACCUUCAAUAAUUCCCAUUUCUAUCAAUGUGAGAGAAUUUCAAUAGUUUAUGGAAGAAUAUAUUUAUGGAAAAAUGA